ACGCUGGCGGCAUGCCUAACACAUGCAAGUCGAACGAAGCCUUCGGGCUUAGUGGCGCACGGGUGCGCAACACGUGGGAAUCUGCCCUUCGGUUCGGAAUAACAGUUAGAAAUGACUGCUAAUACCGGAUGAUGACGUAAGUCCAAAGAUUUAUCGCCGAAGGAUGAGCCCGCGUAGGAUUAGGUAGUUGGUAGGGUAAUGGCCUACCAAGCCGACGAUCCUUAGCUGGUCUGAGAGGAUGAUCAGCCACACUGGGACUGAGGCACGGCCCAGACUCCUACGGGAGGCAGCAGUGGGGAAUAUUGGACAAUGGGCGAAAGCCUGAUCCAGCAAUGCCGCGUGAGUGAUGAAGGCCUUAGGGUUAUAAAGCUCUUUUACCAGGGAUGAUAAUGACAGUACCUGGAGAAUAAGCUCCGGCUAACUCCGUG
rnacentral:rRNA from 1 species